CGCCUGCGUGUCAAUGGAUAAACUCUCUAAUCUAUCAAGUGGCACUAGCAGACCAAUAGGGAGACUUGUGAAGACCUAAAAGUCAUACGAAUACGUUAAAUAGGUACAGUGGUGCUGGCUGGCCAGCUGGACCAUCGUGAGGCAGGCGGGAAGAGUCAUCACCAUAAAGAAGACCAUUUUAAAUGUUUUGAGAUGAUAUGUGUUCUCUAAAUAUUGUUGUAUAGUCUUUCUAAUUAAGUACAUUAACUCUUCAAACUUUUACCAUUUAUUUCCCACUGGCAAAAUGUGUUAUCUAUGGUUUUACUUGUAUAUGUA
ensembl:lncRNA